GGGAAGGGCGGUGGGCUGCAGCGUGCGGUGUGUGUUGUGUGUUGCAGAGUGCGGAGAGAAGGACAAGGACAAGCAUUGCAAGGGCAAGAAGAAGGAAGGGAGCUCCAGCUCGUCGUCAUCUGACAGCGACGAUGGCAAGAAGGGACACAAGGAACACAAAGACCACAAGGACCACAAGGACCACAAGGACCACAAGGACAAGAAGUGCAAGGAUAAGUCCAAGCACUAGAACACCCAGCGAGAGGGACCAGCCACGAGAGCCCUACCACGUGGCCGCUCUGCGUAGUGGGCGCCCGGCCCAACACCCCCGCCCCCCCCCCCUGCUGGCUCCGCCCCCCCCUGCUCACUCCACCCCCCCUUGUGUGACGUGGUGACCCUGGGUGAUGUCAAUGGAAUAAAUGUCAGUUAUUGAUA